rnacentral:rRNA from 1 species
GGUUAAGUCCCGUAACGAGCGCAACCCUUGUCCUUAGUUACCAGCACGUUAUGGUGGGCACUCUAAGGAGACUGCCGGUGACAAACCGGAGGAAGGUGGGGAUGACGUCAAGUCAUCAUGGCCCUUACGGCCUGGGCUACACACGUGCUACAAUGGUCGGUACAAAGGGUUGCCAAGCCGCGAGGUGGAGCUAAUCCCAUAAAACCGAUCGUAGUCCGGAUCGCAGUCUGCAACUCGACUGCGUGAAGUCGGAAUCGCUAGUAAUCGUGAAUCAGAAUGUCACGGUGAAUACGUUCCCGGGCCUU